rnacentral:rRNA from 1 species
CCUACGGGGGGCUGCAGUGAGGAAUAUUGGUCAAUGGACGAGAGUCUGAACCAGCCAAGUAGCGUGAAGGAUGACUGCCCUAUGGGUUGUAAACUUCUUUUAUAUGGGAAUAAAACGUUCCACGUGUGGGAUUUUGUAUGUACCAUAUGAAUAAGGAUCGGCUAACUCCGUGCCAGCAGCCGCGGUAAUACGGAGGAUCCGAGCGUUAUCCGGAUUUAUUGGGUUUAAAGGGAGCGUAGGUGGAUUGUUAAGUCAGUUGUGAAAGUUUGCGGCUCAACCGUAAAAUUGCAGUUGAAACUGGCAGUCUUGAGUACAGUAGAGGUGGGCGGAAGUCGUGGUGUAGCGGUGAAAUGCUUAGAUAUCACGAAGAACUCCGAUUGCGAAGGCAGUUCACUGGACUGCAACUGACACUGAGGCUCGAAAGUGUGGGUAUCAAACAGGAUUAGAUACCCUUGUAGUC